rnacentral:rRNA from 1 species
CGCAGCRACGCCGCGUGSGGGAUGAAGGCYUUCGGGUUGCAAACCCCUUUCAGYAGGGACGAAAUUGACGGUACCUGCMKAAGAAGCCCCGGCCAACUACGUGCCARCAGCCGCGGUAACACGUAGGGGGCGAGCGUUGUCCGGAUUUAUUGGGMGUAAAGAGCUCGUASGCKGCUCGGUAAGUUGGGCGUGAAAUUUCAGGGCUCAACCCUGAAAAGCCGUCCGAUACUGCCGUGGCUAGAGUCCGGUAGGGGAGSGUGKAAUUCCUAGUGUAGCGGWGAAAUGCGCASAUAUUAGGAGGAACACCUGCAGCGAAGGCGGCGCUCUGGGCCGGUACUGACGCUGAGGAGCGAAAGYGUGGGGAGCAAACAGGAUUAGAUACCCUGGUAGUCCACGCCRUAAACGUYGGGCACUAGGUGUGGGGCGUUAUCAACGCGUUCCGUGCCGUAGCUAACGCAUUAAGUGCCCCGCCUGGGGAGUACGGCCGCAAGGCUAAAACUCAAAGGAAUUGACGGGGGCCCGCACAAGCGGCGGAGCAUGUUGCUUAAUUCGAGGCAACRCGAAGAACCUUACCUGGGUUUGACAUGWAGGGAAAAGCCAUAGAGAUAUGGUGUCCWUUUGGGUCCUACACARGUGGUGCAUGGCUGUCRUCAGCUCSUGUCGUGAGAUGUUGGGUUAAKUCCCRCAACKAGCGCAACCCUCGUMCUAUGUUGCCAGCGG